ensembl:piRNA 21ur-8537 ncRNA
UUACCCUUCGUUUUCUAAUUG